rnacentral:siRNA from 1 species
UGGAUAACAAAGAGGGAUUUCAGU